rnacentral:rRNA from 1 species
CCUACGGGAGGCAGCAGUGGGGAAUAUUGGACAAUGGGCGAAAGCCUGAUCCAGCCAUGCCGCGUGUGUGAAGAAGGCCUUCGGGUUGUAAAGCACUUUCAGUGGGGAAGAAAGCUUUGGGGCUAAUACCCUCGAGGAAGGACAUCACCCACAGAAGAAGCACCGGCUAACUCCGUGCCAGCAGCCGCGGUAAUACGGAGGGUGCGAGCGUUAAUCGGAAUUACUGGGCGUAAAGCGCGCGUAGGCGGUCUGAUAAGCCGGUUGUGAAAGCCCCGGGCUCAACCUGGGAACGGCAUCCGGAACUGUCAGGCUAGAGUGCAGGAGAGGAAGGUAGAAUUCCCGGUGUAGCGGUGAAAUGCGUAGAGAUCGGGAGGAAUACCAGUGGCGAAGGCGGCCUUCUGGACUGACACUGACGCUGAGGUGCGAAAGCGUGGGUAGCAAACAGGAUUAGAUACCCGAGUAGUC